rnacentral:rRNA from 1 species
CAGCAGGCAGAUCCAAUUUUCUGCCACCGAAUACAUUAGCAUGGGAUAAUGGAAUAGGACCCUGUCCUCCUAUUUUCAGUUGGUUUUGGCAGCGCGAGGACUAGGGUAAUGAUUAAUAGGGAUAGUUGGGGGCAUUAAUAUUUAAUUGUCAGAGGUGAAAUUCUUGGAUUUAUGAAAGAUUAACUUCUGCGAAAGCAUCUGCCAAGGAUGUUUUCAUUAAUCAAGAACGAAAGUUAGGGGAUCGAAGACGAUCAGAUACCGUCGUAGUCUUAACCAUAAACGAUGCCGACCAGCGAUUAGGAGACGUUGAAUACAAAACACCACCAUCGGCGCGGUCGUCCUUGGCGUCUCGGUUUCGGCCGGGGCGCGGGGACGGCUUAGCCCGGUGGCACCGGUGAA